rnacentral:piRNA from 1 species
UGUGAUCACUUCCAUGAUUCAUUUGUAGGC